AUCGCAUGGUCGGCGGUUCGAAUCCCCGCGGCGGGGUGAGCUCCCGUCGUUCAGUCCCAGCUCCUGCCCACCUAGCAGUUCGAAAGCACCCUUAAGUGCAAGUAGAUAAAUAGGUACCGCUUUAUAGCAGGAAGGUAAACGGCGUUUCCGUGUGCUGCGCUGGUGCCGGCUCGCCAGAGCAGCUUCGUCACGCUGGCCACGUGACCCGGAAGUGUCUCCGGACAGUGCUGGCCCCCGGCCUCUUAGGGGAGAUGGGCGCACAACCCUAGAGUCAGACACGACUGGCCCGUACGGGCAGGGGUACCUUUUUAUUAAUAUGGCACUGUGGUCUAAACCACAGAGCCUACGGCUUGCUGAUCAGAAGGUCGGCGGUUUGAAUCCCAGCUAUGGGGUGAGCUCCCAUUGCUCAGUCCCUGCUCCUGCCAACCUAGCAGUUCGAAAGCACGUCAAAGUGCAAAUAGAUAAAUAGGUACCGCUCUGGCAGGAAGGUAAACGGCGUUUCUGUGCGCUGCUCUGGUUCGCCAGAAGCGGCUUAGUCAUGCUGCCCACAUGACCCUGAAGCUGUAAGCCGGCUCCCUCGGCCAAUAAAGCGAGAUGAGCGCCACAACCCCCAGAGUCGUCUGCAACUGGACCUAAUGGUCAGGGGGUCCCUUUACCUAUUAAUAUACUUCUUAAUUAUAUUUUGGUUCAACAAUUACUUUGAUAAAAUCCAUAUUUUGUUAUGAGCAAAUGGCUUUAGAUACCUAUUAGGUCCAUAAAUUACCAUAUAGCAUAUAUUCAACACAAAAAACAGAGACAAUUUGUUGUUAACAAAGGACAGCUGGACAUAUAAAGGGCCCCAUUACCUUCAGUAGCUUACGGUCUCAUCAAACCUAAAUCCAGCCCUGCUAGCAUCCCAUGGCUACUAAGCAUGGUCAAUCCUCAUUGGACUGUUUCUUGGGGGGCAGCCCCACUUAGAAAAAAACCCCUAACUUCUUUUGUACUUCUGCCCACCUUAAUGUGCCUUCAAGCUUGCUAAUAGUACCAGCCAUCUGUUCUGUUUGGCAGAGGGUGAACGGGUGCCCUCUACCCCCACACUCCAUGAAUGGUUUCUUCCUCAGCUUAUGUUCUUUUAAGCAUGCAGAGCACAUGAAGAAGGAUGUCUCCAACCCAGAUGCACAGCAGAGAUCUGGCCUUCAAUAUGUGUAUCAACGAAGAGAUGAUGUCAGCGGAUCUCUGAGCAGCUGAUGUUUGAAGGACCGCACAGUUAUUGGGCAAUAAUCACUUGGUGCCUUUGCAGCCCUCAAGUCUCCGCGAUUUGGGUUCCAUGGUUUUACUUGAGCAGCUGCCACGCCGUAUCAGAUUAUGCCUGAGAGUACAAAGCAAUCCUUCACUUAGACCCAGAAAAAUAAUGAAAGCCCAAUUUAUUCUGUUUUAAGGGCCCAAAAAUAACAGCACUAAACCAAAAAAAAAGCAUGACGCCAUUAGGAGGGAGGGGGGAACAAGAAAACACCAGCUUCUUCUAAAGUUAUUUUAUUCAUUUGUUGUUGUUUUUCCCCCCUUUCUCAUUUAAUUACAUUUGCUUGCGGGUUAUUCUUUUUUCCCUACCACAUUUCAGAGAGAAUAUUAAAUCUAGGGCAAAGGAAGCAGCAAUAUAAACAAGCCAUUAAACUUCCCUGCAGACUUGAGCCACUCAGGGCUGACGCUGAGGCCUUUUGGAACGUGGCCUGCGCAAUGAGCAUGCGCAAACACCACUCUACACAAACAUGCCCUGAGAGAAAGCGUAGCCAACAUGCUGCCCACCAGGUCUUAGACCACACCAGCCAUCAUCCUUGACCAUUGGCUACCCUGGCUAGGGCUUAUGGGAGUUGUAGUCCAACCAUUGUGAAGGUACCAUGACAGCUACCUCAGAGACUCUAGCCCCCUUCUUUCUUUCUAAUGGUCUUCUAAUUGACUGAAAGGUUGGACAAGCAAGAGAAUUAAAAUAAAGUAGUACCUCUGGUUACGUACUUAAUUCGUUCCGGAGGUCCGUUCUUAACCUGAAACUGUUCGUAACCUGAAGCACCACUUUAGCUACUGGGGCCUCCUGCUGCCGCUGCACAAUUUCUGUUCUCAUCCUGAAGCAAAUUCUUAACCCGAGAUACUAUUUCUGGGUUAGUGGAGUCUGUAACCUGAAGCGUAUGUAACCCGAGGUACCACUGUUGGGGUGGGGAGCCUGUGGGCCACACCUGGCCUGCCAGCCCUCCCCAUUUGGUUCAGGAUGCCAUUCUUGGAAAAACACCCACCUACACCUGACACCAUACAAUCUGAGCUUCAAUCUGAGCUUCAACGACACCUGGCGUCACCGUGGCAUUGGGUGAUUGACAGGUGAAGGACCAAUGGUCAGGGAGAUUAAGAGCAAACCUGCAGGCCAGAAAGGUUCCCCAGCUGUAAGAGAAGCUAGCAAGCGGUGUUAAAAGAGUUGUUGGUGAACUGAAGAGGGUUGCUGGAGAAAGAUGAAAGUGCUAGAAAUUGGAAGGUGACAGGACGGAGAGUGCAGCAGGGGACCCAGACUCCAGGGACUAAAUAAGUUGAGAUGAAAGGAGGAAGACUGGAAACAGCACUGCUGGUGGACUAGGAUGAGCUGAAAUCACUUCAUUCGCUUAAGUCGGGAAACAGUCUAGACAAGGUUCGGAUUAAUGUGUUUUUCCAUGUUAUUUUCAUAUCCUAAUUGCUCUCAGAGUUAACUGUUUUGAAUUCUGUUCCUCCUUCCCCCCUGCCCCCUGAGAUACCAUCAUAAAUUGCAGCCUUUCAAAACCUUUAGUUAGAAUCUGAUUAUGUCGUUGGUGAAACCUUGGUUUCAUGUGCUAAAUUUCAGCCCGUGCCGAAUCGCCUUUCUGUCUUACCCAGUAUGAGGAACGAGUUGGCUGGGAUAGUGCUAACAUCACAUAAGAGAAAGGGCUGUUUUAGCGGAGGCAACUAGGAUAAACAAAAACUUUCAUUAGAUGGCAGAGGUUGGCAGGGGCAGCCCGUCCCGUUUUGCUGUAGGUGAAAUGGGACGGUGUCGCCCUGUGUGGUAUGCCCCUACCAAAGCCUAGCUUGCCAGUUGUCAAGGAGCUGUCAAGCUUGUCCAGAUCAACCACAGGGCAGGGAAAGACGGGAGGCACGGAAUGCCAUUGGCUUUUUAUUAACAGAAAAUAACAAGACAGUAAAGUCCUCUGAUUUGUCUUAAUUCAGCUGAGACAUUGCUGAAACUAACCACUGCCCACCCCCAGCCACAAAUAACAAGAUGGUAGAGUUCUCUGAUUUGUCUUAAUUCAGCUGAGACAUUGCUGAAAUAAAGCACUGCCCCCUUUCUCCACCCCAAGCCACUCAUUCUGAAUCUGUCCCAAGCUGACAAAAGCUGCAUCGAGGAGGUGGACUCCUCCUCUGGGCCUGUCUGAACCAUUGCUCAGCAGGACUGUCCUGGCGCUGUGGUUUAAACCACUGAGCCUCUUGGGCUUGCCGAUCAGGAGGUCGGCAGUUCGAAUCCCCAUGACGGGUGAGCUCCCCUUGCUCGGUCCCAGCUCCUGCCAACCUAGCAGUUUGAAAGCAUACAAGCACAAGUAGAUAAAUAGGUAGCACUGCAGCAGGAAGGUAAACAGCGUUUCCGUGCGCUCUGGCUUCCGUCAAGGUGUUCCGUUGUGCCAGAAGCGGUUUAGCCAUGCUGGCCUCAUGACCCGGAAAGCUGUCUGUGGACAAACACUGGCUCCCUCGGCCUGAAGCGAGAUGAGAGCCACAACCCCAUAGUCGUCUUUGACUGGACUUAACCGUCCAGGGGUCCUUUACCUUUACCUACCUCAAGCAGGACUCUUCUCAAGUAGGGUGUCAGAGGGGGAUGGGACUGAGACUGUCCUGCUGCUGGAUAGCAAGGGCAACCUCUGACUCCUCUCUAUCUGAGUCUGUGCUCACACUGUGACUCUCAGCCUCUAACCCUGUCCAGGAAGGCCCUACUUCUUCUGACCUGCCUUGAUUGCUCAAACCCCUGCUUCAAGCACCUCCCAGCUCGUCCCUUUCCUAGACUGCCCCAUAGUGUCCCACCACCAGGAUAUGGGAUCAAAGUUGUCUUCUUCUGUGUCCUCCCUGUAGGGCUCCCACCACUCUUCCUCAUCUAGGCAGUCCCCAAUACCAAUAUCCCCCCCCCCCCGGCUUCCAUGUUCUGGUGACAUCUCACAGGGCUUUCAUGAGGUUCUCCAGAACCUGAAAGCCACUGCAGUCACUUCUCCAGCGGUGGCAGAAGAAAGUGUGCCCAUGGAAGUACCCACAGAAGCACCCGUUGGAUUCCACUGCAUGAGGUGGCCACCUCAGUCUGUGCCUCAUAAACAGGCCAGCCCUGAGGGGGCUGGUGAGGACCACAGAAGGGGCUAAGUGAGCUUGGUUGCUCCCUUUCCCUCCAUCUCACAGUGCAGGCUACAGCUGGCUGGACAUUGGAGAUGCCAGCACAUUUCAGGAAUUCCAAAUAGCACCAUGCAGCCGAGGGUUACAUGAAAUAAGAAUUAUACAGAUAGCAUCUCUUUCUCUAAUUUUCCCUCCAGCAUCUGGUAAUCAGAGAUAUCCAGCCGCCAAACUGGGCAGCGAUAAGAGAAUCUGUCCCUAUCUAUCGUACCAGAUGAUCUGUGGUGGAUCAAAUACUUCUGCAUUAUAAUUUAUAUUUUAAAAAGCUUCUAACUGUGUAACACUAGAACUCCUGGACAUUCAAAGAAGCUGAAUGUUGGAAGAUUUGGGACAGAUAGAAUACAGCGCAUAGUUAAACUUGGGCUGCCAAAGCUAGGGCACUUUGUCCUGGAUCUUAGGCAAGUUUCUAUAAAACUUUGAGGUUUGUUUUAAAAAAGCUCGACAAUUUUGGAGUCUUCCUAAAUAAGCUCAUCAACUUUCAGGGUGUCCUGGCAACCCUAGCUAUGGAUCUCGCUUCCACAGGAGGCAUAGAUGGCUUUAAAAGAGGAUGAGACGAAUUCUUGGAGGAGAGGGCUAUCGAUGGCUACCAGCCUCAGUGGCUUGGCUCAGCUACCACAGUUGGAGGCAGCACUGCUUCAGAACACCAGUUGCUGGAAACCACAGGAGGGGAGAGUGCUCUUGGGUUCGAAUCCUGCUUGCUGGUUUCCCACAGGCAUCUGGUCGACUACAGUGGUACCUCUGCUUAAGAACUUAAUUCGUUCCGGAGGUCCGUUCUUAACCUGAAACUGUUCUUAACCUGAGGUACCACUUUAGCUAAUGGGGCCUCCUGCUGCUGCCGUGCAAUUUCUGUUCUAAUCCUGAGGUAAAGUUCUUAACCCGAGGUACUAUUUCUGGGUUAGCGGAGUCUGUAACCUGAAGUGUCUGUAACCUGAAGUGUCAGUAACCCGAGGUACCACUGUACUGUGGGAACAGAUGUUGGACUAGAUAGGCCAUUGGCCUGAUCCAGCAGGCUCUUCUUAUGUUCUUACACUGUGGGACGCGGGUGGCGCUGUGAUCUAAACCACUGAGCAUCUUGGUUUGCCGAUCGGAAGGUCGACGGUUCGAAUCCCCGUGACAGGUUGAGCUCCCGUUGCUCAGUCCCAGCUCCUGCCAACCUAGCAGUUCAAAAGCACACCAGUGCAAGUAGAUAAACAUGUACUACUGUGGCGGGAAGGUAAACGGUGUUUCCGUGCGCUCUGGUUUCCGUCACGGUGUUUCAUUGCAGCAGAAGCGGUUUAGUCCUGCUGGCCACAUGACCCGGAAGGCUGUCUGUGGACAAAGGCCAGCUCCCUCAACCUGAAAGCGAGAUGAGUUCUGCAGCCCCAUAGUCGCCUUUGACUGGACUUAACUGUCCAGGGGUCCUUUACCUUUUUACAUUGUGGCUUAUGACUUAAUUUUCUUCACUGAACUUAAAAGCUUCUCCUUUGAUGCUAGAGACAUGUUAAGAAAUAGGAUCCAGGAUUGGACCAAGCCUUCCAUGUAGCUGCAGUGGGACAAUUUAAACCAGGCUCAGCUUUCGAGCUUGUUUUUGAAUACCAGGACUCACCCCUGCUAGAGUAGGUAAAGAUCAUUUUAAAAAGUUCUCCAGAGCACGUGCAGAGUGUAUUUCCAUGGAGUAUGUGCAGCCACGGGUUCACUUGCACGUAUGUGCAUCUAGGGGAUGUCGGGCGACACUUUCCUUUGGUGGUAGUAAGAGCAGAGGUAUUUCAGAUUUGGGGGCAGGGUGAAGAGACCAGUCUGGCUUCCGCGCUGGUCAUGGGACCGAGACGGCUCUGGUCGCCCUAACAGAUGAUCUCCGCAGGCAGCUGGAUCGAGGCGGGUCGGGGCUGCUGAUUCUUCUAGACCUGUCAGCAGCCUUUGACAUGGUUGAUCACGAACUCCUGGACCACCGCCUUGCCGACGUGGGGAUCCAGGGCACAGUCCUUCAAUGGCUGCGCUCGUUUCUCUCUGGUCGGGGACAGAGGGUGGCGCUUGGGGGGGAAUUGUCAUCCCGCCACUCCUUGGUGUGUGGAGUACCUCAGGGUGCGAUACUCUCCCCGAUGCUUUUUAACAUCUUUAUGCGCCCCCUCGCCCAGCUUGUCCGGAGUUUUGGGCUGGGUUGCCAUCAGUAUGCCGAUGACACCCAACUCUAUCUGUUGAUGGAUGGCCAUCCUGACUCGGCCCCAGACACACUGACCAGAUGUUUGGAAGCUGUGGCUGGAUGGUUACAUGGAAGCCGGUUGAAGUUAAAUCCUUCGAAGACAGAGGUCCUCUGGCUGGGACGGGACGAUAUGGGAUUGGGGGCAACUCCCAUCUCUUGCGAGGGUGCAAUUAGUGCCAGCACCGUCCGUUAAGGAGUUUGGGUGUAAUCUUCGAUACCUCCCUCUCUAUGGAGGCGCAGAUUACAGCUAUAACAAAGGCGGCAUUUUUUCAUCUCCGCCAAGCUAAGCAGUUGGCCCCUUAUCUCUCUCGCCCUGACCUAGCCACUGUGAUCCACGCGACGGUCACCUCCAGACUGGAUUAUUGUAACUCGCUCUACGUGGGGCUGCCCUUGAGACUGACCCAGAAACUCCAGCGGGUGCAGAAUGCCGCGGCGAGACUCCUUAUGGGGUCUUCGCUGCGAGAUCACAUUCAUCCGGUACUAUACCAGCUGCACUGGCUCCCGGUGGAGUACAGGAUCAGGUUUAAGGUGCUGGUUUUAACCUUUAAAGCCCUAUACGGCCUAGGACCCUCGUACCUACGGGACCGCCUCUCCUGGUAUGCCCCACAGAGGAACCUACGGUCUGCAAAUAAAAACAUCCUGAAGGUCCCAGGCCUCAGAGAGGUUAGGCUGGCCUCAACUAGAGCCAGGGCUUUCUCGGCUGCGGCUCCAAUCUGGUGGAACGCUCUGUCACAAGAGACUAGGGCCCUGCGGGACCUGACAUCUUUCCGCAAGGCCUGCAAGACAGAGUUGUUCCACCAGGCCUUUGGUCAGGGCCCAGCCUGACUCCCUCCUCUGGCAACCUGCACAGAACUUUGCUUAACGGUUGCCAUUAAUUUGAUUUAAUUAAUUUUUAUAAUGAAAUGUUUUAGAAUGUUGGAUUAUUUGAUUAUUUGAUUGUUUGAUUAUUUGUUUGUUGUUAGCCGCCCUGAGCCUGGCUUUGGCUGGGGAGGGCGGGAUAUAAAUAAAAUUUAUUAUUAUUAUUAUUAUUAUAAUAAAAGGGCAAGAUUUUAAUCAAAGUUUAAAAGUCAAUUUUGAGAUUUGUGAAAGCGAGGCUGCUUUUUUGUAGCAGUUUUUUUUGGCACAAUGUGUAUGUAGUCCAGCACAACUGCAGUUUAUAAUAAGCUGUAGCUCAUAAUAACUGUGGCGAUGUUAUCAGUUUGGGUCAAACAGUCAUCUUUUGAAAAAGCAAACGAGGGUUGCCGUAUUGGCCCGAAUAUAAGCCACACUUUCCCCCCAAAUUCCGACCAUGCAAAGUUAAAGUGCGGCUUAAAUUCGCGACCUUACAAAAAUUGGCCUUUUUUACGAUAUUGCUGCUGAAACAGCCAUACAGUAAAAUGGAACGGGUGUGAGUACCUGUGGAAGUUUAAGGGAGUGGCUUAUAGUUGGGUAUUGUCUCCCCCCCCCCCGCCACUGACUUUUAAAAGUGCGGCUUAUAUUCGGGUGUGGCUUAUAUAUGGGCCAAUACAGUGCUUAUACCUUUUUUCAUGCAUACAGUGGUACCUUGGGUUAAGAACUUAAUUCGUUCUGAAGGUCUGUUCUUAACCUGAAACUGUUCUUAACCUGAGGUACCACUUUAGCUAAUGGGGCCUCCCACUGCCACCGCCACGCGAUUUCUGUUCUCACCCUGAGGUAAAGUUCUUAACCCGAGGUACUAUUUCUGGGUUAGCAGAGUCUGUAACCUGAAGCGUCUGUAACCUGAGGUACCACCAUACUUCAUACACAAACUUCUUUCAUUAUUAUUUUUUAAAAAAUACAAACACAAACAGUCACUCGGUGUGUAAAACAACCAGUAACUUGGUCGGAAAUUUAUAGAUGCUCUUGAUGAAUGAAUCGUAUACCAACUGGGGAGGUGAUGGAUUGAACCCCCCUUCCUUAAAUGGUGUCCUUGAGUAGUUGUGAUCCCGAUUUGUCAAUGCUCGUCCUGGUCUUGAAGGUCAAAGGUCACCUUGCGAUUGGGUCGAGUUCCUAAACGGAGAGCUAUCCUGUGUUAAAACCGUAGCCCACGCCAUCCCUGCCAUGCCUCUGCUGUCUGCUGUUUCCUGGAGAGACAGUCAAGGUACUUCCUGCGGGAUCUUUGAAGAAGUCCCAGAUUGCAGCUGCUUCCAGCAGCGGCUUAUUUUAAUUGCCAAGACAGCUAAUGACUGAAGGGCUGUGCACGAGGCUUGCCCGCGGGCGAUGGUGAGGUUAACGCUAAUAAAUCCCAGAAAAGCCCUCGAUGUGAUAACCAGCUCUCUUCCAACCAUGUGCGACAAAGAGGGAAACCAAGCAGAUUAUUUUUGCAGCGGGGUGCUGCUUCUUGCUUUUUUAAAAAACACCAAAAUACCUUCCCUCAUUCAUUCAUUUCAGCAUUUGUCUCCUUAUGGUUUUCAUUCUUGUGGUCUCCAUUCUUUUCUCUUUCUCCUUCACACAAACACUCCAACUAGAUGAGAUGCAGGAGGGAGGUCUGUGAUAAAGAUCUCCUGCUAUUUAUUUUAUUUCAUUUUUAUGCAAAAAGCAGUCCUCACCCAACAAUUUCAGGCUACAGUGCUGGGGAGGGAAGGCGGCGAGAGAGCUUUUCAGUUUCCCCCUCUGCAUAGUCUGCCCCUAUAGUGAUAAGUGUACAAGUCCGAUUUAUAUAUUUAGUUAUUUUAUAAAAUUUAUGGGCCAAAGAAGCUCCAAGCGGUUGGCAAAAGAAGAUAAAACAAUAAAAUAGCCACUAAGAAAAAUGAACAACAAUGAUGCAAGACAUACGAAAAGUUGACAUAACAUUAGACUAAGAAGAAAUUAAAACUUGUGUUAACUUUCUAGACAUUUGCGUCUUCUUCUUUGGUGACCACUUGUAGCCGAGUAAGAUUGUCUUCCAUGAUCACAUUCUUAACAGUGAGUCCGUAAGUGAAUGUGGAGGCUGAUUCUGGAUCCACAUGUCCUUCCACAGUGGGGACAUAGGUUUCUGGGUGGGAGUUGAUCAUGGUGAGGGUUUGCCAAGCGUGCCUUCCUCUUGGCACGUUUCUCCCUUUCAUCCAGAGUUUGAGUGUCUUCAAAACUGCUGGAGGGGGCAGGCUGUCAUUUGGAGUUCCCUUCAGGCAUCAAAACGGUUUUGGCCAGCACCGGUUGCUCAGUUCCCGUACUGGAGUAGGGUCAUAAUAUUUGACAAUCUGUCCUAUUUUGCCACUGGCACAGUUUCAGUUUCAGAUCGUUUCGACAAAACCACACAACAGACCUGUUACUGAUUUGCAGCUGACCUCUUGCAAAGCCUGCCUUGUUUCUGAAAGUUAAUAGGCAGUAAGAAAACAACCACCAAGAUCAUGGGUAGGCAAACUAAGGCCCGGGGGCUGGAUCCAGCCCAAUCGCCUUCUAAAUCCGGCCCGCGGACGGUCCAGGAAUCAGCGUGUUUUUACAUGAGUAGAAUGUGUCCUUUUAUUUAAAAUGCAUCUCUGGGUUAUUUGUGGGGCAAAGGAAUUCGUUCAUUUUUCUUCCCUUCAAAAUAUAGUCCGGCCCCCCACAAGGUCUGAGGGACAGUGGACCAGCCCCCUGCUGAAAAAGUUUACUGACCAAGAUAUUUGGACACUCUUCGUCUCAGGCCUUCCGCUGUGUUAGAGGCAUCUAUCUUGCGCACAAACGAUGCUCUGUCGCAGAAGCGCACGUAGCAUGCUCCGUUCCUAACUUAGCUUACGGAGGCCCAGGGAGGGACAUACAGGGAGGGGGACCCAGAUGCGCACAAUAAUUGCUCCUAAAUGAGAAACAGCUCUUUGAAUGGGAGAGCGAUUAGCGGCUGAAUGGAGAGAGGAGAUAAUGGAGUGGGAGAACCCUGAAAAUGGAGAAGAGCCGGGAGGCGGUGGGGGUGGGAGGGGAUAAGCCUAGAAAGGGUGUGAUGUGAUGAGGAGGGAAGACACCUGCAGUUUGGCUUUCCAAUUCUUGGCCUCCGCUACGACUGUCGGCAGGCAAUUACCGGCCAUUACGGCUUUCCUUGGAGCAGAACCGGGCCCAGGCGCAGCAAAUUUCAGGGCGCAAGCCAGGUCUGCAGAGGAGGCAACUUUGUUAAGAGACGAUAAGAGAUCUGGAAGUGGCUUUAAAGGAAGGGAGAGGGAAGCAGGACACUGUCCAGAUGCGGAGGCCCUUCUCUUGGCGCUCUCUUCCUUUUCCACCACAUGGCUCAGGCCUCCCUCCUUCGGAAGCUAAAGUGCAUCUACCUGCGGGGACCACCGGCCAUGCUGGACCUGCCUGUAAAAGGGGAGCGUUAAUGGGAGCUGGAACAGUUUCUGUCGGGUGGCACACAGACAAGGCCGAAGCGGAGCUACCAUGCCAGGUGAGUUAGGCAGGGUGGCCUGUUUUAUUGAUGACAAUUGAAAGAGAGCAGUUGUCUGCUUGAAGGGGUUUUCUCUUCCAAGAACUGGACAAUCCAGGCCUGGUUUAAUGUUGAAGAUGUGGGAUGUAACAUCACUGAAGAAGCAAUUCCUGUUUGCCCAGAGUGGACAUGCAGGGUAAUGUUGCUUCAGCCAAGAGGACUUCCUGUCACACCUGGUCUGGAGCAUCCUUCCCCUGCGUGUGACCAGGGAGAUGGGCGUGUCCCUGGCAGACCCUACAAAAGGGCCAGUCACGCAGCCAUCUCUCUCUCUUGAUCCCUUCUCUCCAUUUUGCCUUUUGCUGUCUGCUGGCUCUCAGCCAGCAGCACAUGGGCUCAUCCUUCACAGAGGAUGAACCCACACUUUUCACUGUAACUACAAGCUAACGCAGGCAUAGGCAAACUCGGCCCUCCAGAUGUUUUGGGACUACAAUCCCCAUCAUCCCUGACCACUGGUCCUGUUAGCUAGGGAUGAUGGGAAUUGUAGUCCCAAAACAUCUGGAGAGCCCAGUUUGCCUAUGCCUGAGCCAAAGCCUGCCUUCAGGACCGUAAUGUGAACUCAAUGUAAGUAACAUUCAUUACUAUUAAGACUGUUGUGUCAUUAUUGUUUUUAAGAGGGAACUAAAGGGGAUUUACCAUGACAAGCCAGACUGGGUUGCUUAACUCAAAUGAUUCUUACGAAUCCAUCAACUAGCUUUCUGCAAUGUAUAAGGGAAUGUGCUCUGCUACAAGCUCACUAGUGUGAGGUAAUAUAAUAUUUAAUCAAUAUAACCCUAUGAAGGGAGAGCAGGCCGGGGCUCACCCAUCAAUUGUUAAACCUGGACAGCAGGCUCAGCAAGCACAUGGGUCAUCUGAGCCAAGUCUUCCCCCCGACGGCCAGAUGGAUUGUUUAUAUUUCUUUUUAUAUCGCAGUCCUUGGACUCAGCUAUACACCUGCAAAUAUAACGUUUUAAGUGCAUUAUACAAAUGUGAAACAAGAUGGCGCUGGUGAGCUAAUGGCAAAUUCCAUAUAUGUUUUAAAACAUGUUUUUUAAAAGCAUUUUCACAGCGUUGUUUUUUUAUGUGUGUAGAUUCAGCCCUUAUUUCUGAAAUUGCAUAUGAACAUUUAAAGCCAGCAUAUGGAAACAUGUAGAUCCGUGUCAUCUUUUCGGAGAGAGGGGGGGAGGGCAUGCAUAAACAAUCAACCCCAGAGCUGCGGGUGUGAUGUGCAGUGGUGUACAGUUCUCUGCUCACACCUUAAAGAAGCAAACCAGCCACCUUGCACAUAUUGCACGAUCGCACAAGUAGUGAAUUGGGCUGGUGGAAUUCUGGACUGCACCAAUUUAUGCUGUAGGGGAGGAAUCACAAGGUGGUGAAGUGAGCUGGUAGAAUUUUGGGCUGUACCACUUCACACUGCGGGUGAGGAAUCCUUCCCCUCCUCCUCAUAUUGCCAUGGGAAACUCCCAAGCACAUGCAGGAGGGGCACAGCCCCACCACAGCCAGAGCCUACUCUCUGUUUUCCUCCUCCUUGCCCUCCCCUCUUGCCCCAUCAUCCAGGCAUAACAUGCUCAGCAGGGACCACAGAUUCCACAUGCAUCUUCCUGUUAGGAUUCUUGCUCCGUGUUUGCAGUCAUGGGAUUGUUUUCUAUCACAUGCCGGUGUAUGUUUUCAUUCCACAGUGUGGGAAGUGAGGGAGACAGGAUGUUUUGUGUUACUGUUUUCUGCAAUGUAGGACUAUUGUCCUUUGUUCUUUCUCUCUUUGCUGUCUGAUAAGAAAAAGGAAGGAGCUAAGUCAGAAUGCUCCGAGUGUAUUAUAUGUAAAUAAAGUAGAUUAGCCAAAAUGCUGUGCUAAUGAGUUCUGUUACGCAAACUGCCAAUACUUUGCAGGAUUGAAAGUGUGCAGAUACUUCUUGGUAUGUCGCUUUGAUAUUCAGGCUAGAGAAAGCUUUUGAAGCUCCCAAACAACAGACCAGGAGGGAGAGAACUUGCCAGUCGGGCAUGUGUCUCUGCCAGGGUCCUACAUGCGAGUAGGACGACCCUAACAUCCAUCCGUGGCCCAUUCCUUUCCCACCCCAUAACUUUGGUGGGUUGGGUUGAGGGAAAUAACUCUCACAUCUCAAAACACUUUCAGGCUUCUGGAAGGGCAGCCCAACAAAUGCUUUGCCUUUUAGCCUCUCUCCUCCGCUUCAAAUUCCCACUUUAAAAAAAAAUUUUAAAACCACUAACAUCUUGCACUUAGUGAACAUGCAGACCAAGAACAAAGUUCUUCUAUUAACCACACGCAAGCAGCUUUUACUUGAGGAACUAUUUUAAAAUAUUAACCCACACGCAUAGCUGCAGUACAAAGAGCAACUGCUCCAGAUUCCUAGUUCUGUACCUCUGGCUGCAUAUACACUAUACCUUUAAAGCACAUCUGAAACGUAUUAUUUCCCUCAAAGAAUUCUGGGCACUGUAGUUUCCGUCUCACAGAGUUACAAUUCCCAGAAACCCUCAACAGUUACCCUUGUUGAAACUUAAUUCUCUUAUAAAUCCAUAAUGCACUUUUAAGAAAAAGUUUUUAAAAGUUAUAAUUAAACACAAGAAGAAAAAGGAACAGUCCACUUUUUCUGAUCCUCUUCUGUACAGAGACAGUGGCAGGCAAUUAUGAUUCAGUUUUAUAAUUCAGGGAUGCUGAAUUAGCAGAAACUAAUAUCUAUACAGUAGAUAUUGGCGAAUUUCCAUUCUUGCUUCCCAUUCAAACCAUUUCAGUGAGAAAUGGUAGAGAAAAUUUCAAUUUUUUAUACACAAUGUGAAAUCUGCAUAUAAAUACAAUUACCUAAUGUACAUAGACAUCUCCUGAUGGUUUGAUUUUGACAGACUUCUAAUAUCUAACCUCAUCAACAGCCAACCGUCAAUACCUUAUAUUGCUUUUAAAAAAAACCCCAAACAAGUUAGGUCCAAGGGUACUUUAGAGACCACCUGACCCCUUAUAUUUCAGUUUCUGAGAUCAUCUGCAAGAGCAUCACAAGUAAUUCCUUGAGCUGGAGAGGUUCAUUUGACAAGAAUCUGAACCUUUAGUGUCAUCAUCCCAGUUUUGUGCAAUAUUCUGCCGAUGAGGGGGAAGCAUGCUUCAGGUGUGCUUUAAAGGUACAAUGGUACCUCGGGUUAAGAACUUAAUUCAUUCUGGAGGUCCGUUCUUAACCUGAAACUGUUCUUAACCUGAGGUACCACUUUAGCUAAUGGGGCCACCCACUGCCACCGCACCACCGCUGUGCUAUUUCUGUUCUCAUCCUGAAGCAAAGUUCUUAACCUGAGGUUCUAUUUCUGGGUUAGCGGAGUCUGUAACCUGAAGCAUCUGUUACCUGAAGCAUCUGUAACCUGAAGCAUCUGUAACACAAGGUACCACUGUAUACUAGUGUGUACAUAGCGUUAGUUUGAUCACCUCGUUCUGCAUAAAGUAUAGAACUAUUCAGAACUUCAUCGAGGUUGGCAUAGAUCAUGAUUCAAUCAACAUCUGGGCCCAGGAAAAGUCCAUGGUGAGAGUUUCAAAGAUCUGGUUUCCUGGUCCAUGUUUUAGUGCAGGACUAUAGCUCCCAUCGGGAUGUGGGUGGCGCUGUGGUCUAAGCCACAGAGCCUAGGGCUUGCCGAUCAGAAGGUCAUCAGUUCGAAUCCCCGUGACGGGGUGAGGUCCCAUUGUUCGGUCCCAGCUCCUGCCCACGUAGCAGUUCGAAAGCACAUCAAAGUGCAAGUAGAUAAAUAGGUACUGCUCCGGCGGGAAGGUAAAUGGCAUUUCUGUGCACUGAUCUGGUUCACCAGAAGCGGCUUAGUCAUGCUGGCCACAUGACCCGGAAGCUGUACGCCGGCUCCCUCGGCCAAUAAAGAGAGAUGAGCGCCACAACCCCAGAGUCGGUCAUGACUGGACCUAACGGUCAGGGGUACCUUUACCUUUACCUAUAGCUCCCAUCAUUCCUGGCCAUUGUCCAUGCUUGAUGGGGCUGAUGGGAGUUGGAGUCCCACAACCUCUGCAGAGCCACAGGUUCCCCGUCCCUAUUUUAGUGCCUGGAGUUCUUUGUUCCGAAGGAGCCAACCAUAGGCGCUCGUCCCAUUAAUAUUUAUCUGUUCCUUGUUGAAUGGAAGUAGAGCUGAGCAGACAAUGAAAGUUUUAAUUGCUGGCACUUGCUGCCAAAAAGCAAUUUCUCUCUUGCUCAAGGGAUAGGAAGACAGGAGGUAGGUUUUAUUAUUAUUAUUAUUUAAAGAGCACCUCAAUGGAGCUUGGAGAUUGUGGAUCAGAGGGAAAAGCACCGUCCGAAAUUGGCAAAAAAAGCUUCUGCUGCUGCAACCUUUAGUUAUGUGUUGUAAUAUGUAUCUAACAUGCUCCAUCCAAAGGGAAUACGUUGAGUAAUAGCACAAGAUUUUUUAAAUAAUAAGAAGGAAACUAACCGCAGUUCCACUGAAUAUUCAGCGCAGUACAAUUAAAGCUUUCUGCCAUGCAGUUUUACUCCAAGCCACCAAAUGUCCCUCUCAGCCAGGAAGUCCUGACAUCACGUCUCCCCUCAGAGUCCCAAAGUUAAGUUGUGUGAGGCAGUUACCAAGAACACCCUCUGCAAAUCAUCAUCAGCAUAACUAGAUGGUUCCCAGAUGGAACAAUUAAAGACAUUUUAUUCUCUCAGGCAAUUUAAGCGAAAUGAAUUUUUCUUUCAGAUCUGAUGGGAAAGGAAGCUAUAUUUUAAAUGCUAAAAUGGAGUCAUCCAUUCUGCUGUCUGAAUUUGUUAUGAUGAAUCUGAAAAGUGCUCUUGUUUUAAUUGUCUCUCUCUCUGUGUAAUUUUUUUUAAUAAAAAAAUACUGUUUCAUACCUGCCUGGCCCGUCAUUUCAAAGUAAUCCUAUUCAAUGUUCAUUCAGAAGUGUCAAUGGGUUCACUGGGACUUCCUCUAGCCCAGUGGUUCCCAAAUGGGGGUCCGCGUAACCCACCCAGGGGGUCUGUGACACCAUUGACAUGAAACAACUACCAUAGUGAUACCAAGUUUUUUCAAAAGUAUGGCUUGGCUUGGCUUUUGAAAGAAGGCCACAAAUUUAAAGCACUGUGGUUCAAUUUUAAACAACUCCCCUGAAAGAAUUCUGGGAAGUUUAGUUUGUUAAGAGUGCUAAGAAUUGUUUAGGAGACCCCCAUUUCUCUCCCGGAGCUACAAUUCCGAAAAUAGUUUAACAAUCAAUCCCUCUUUUCUGAGAACUCUGGGAGGGGAAUAGAGUUUUCCCUUAAGGAACUACAGCCCCCAGAAGGGGUGCCACAGUGCUUUUAAACGGUGUGAAUGCGUCCCAAGUCCGGGAAGCGUUUCUGCUCAGCAUCAGGAAAGCUAUCUCCAACCAAAGCGAUGGCGGCUAUCAAUUUUCUAAAAACACACAGUCUGUUAUUGCAGUUGUAAACUGGGGCUUUUCCCAUGUCUGCAGGGUCUGGAAAUUAGUCAUUACUGCGGGUAACAACCAGUGGGGCUUUGCUCAUUAAUUGCUCUGCCCCCAGCUGUUAAAUAGCAAAAACGGUUGUUAACUCCAGGUUAAAAACAACCGCUAAAAAACACACACACAUGCACUCAUGCACAAUCCAAACAGAAAGCAAGGUGAUCAGGAGGGGGAUUAUGACAGGAAUUACAGACUAUAAACUCCCUGCAGGUUAAUGUCAGUGCCAAAGGUUGGAUGAGGCUGCUAGCUAUCUCAAGUGAGUGCAAAUGUAUACAUUGGCAAGACACUUCACUUUAUCUGCUGCUGCUGCUCCUGCUCCUGCUGUUGCUGUUGCUGCUGCUACAGUUCGGAAGCUAUUUUACCUCAAGGCAAAGCAGUCGCCUCAAGUGGUGGAUUUGAAGUUCAAGGCAAUAGUUUUUGUAUGGCGUUUAAAAGCAAUUUGGUGGGAGAAGUCAGGGAGACUCAAGAGGGCGACAUUUAUUUUAUUUUCUAAUGUAAAAUAAUUAUAACUCUCCCCUCAUCGGGUUCCAGGAUUAGAUAGAGUACAUAUAGAACUAAAUAACAACAACAGCAAUACCAGAAGUCUCAAAACGAUUUACAGGGACAACGUAGUCACAUCCAUGCCAUACAUUUAAAUCACUCUUAUGCCACUGUUAAUAAUAAUAAUUAUUAUAAUUUAUUAUUUAUAUCCCGCCCAUCUGGCUGGGUUUCACCAGCCGCUCUGGGCGGCUCCAACAAAAUAUUACAAAUGCGAUAGAACACCAAACAUAAAAAAAACUUUCCUAAACAGGGCUGCCUUCAUAUGUCUUCUAAAAGUCAGAGUUGUUUAUUUCCUUGACAUCUAAUGGGAGGGCCUUCCACAGGGCGGGUGCCACUACCGAGAAGGCCCUCUGCCUGGUUCCCUGCAACCUCACUUCUCGCAGCGAGGGAAUCGCCAGAAGGCCCUCGGAGCUGGACCUCCGUGUCCGGGUUGAACGAUGGGGGUGGAGACGCUCCUUCAGGUAUACUGGGCCAAGGCUUCCCCCAAACAACCCUGGGAACUGCAAUUUGUUAAAGGUGCUAAUAUUUAUCAGAGUCGGACCCACUUUACCAUUGGGCAACUGCCUCAGGUGGCCGAUUCAGGGGUGAACCAUUCCCUUCCAUUGGAGGGCAGAGCUAGAUAUGCCACCCGGAUCAUUCUGCACCCCCUGAAUUAGCCUGCUUGCCUUGGGUGGAAUGGAGGACGCCAUCUUAGCACCAAUGAAUUGCUGCUCUGGUUGACUUCCAUAUAUGAAACAGGGGGCACCAUCUUGCCCGUUGCCCCAGGCAGCAAAAUGUCUUGGGCUGGCCUUGGUCAGGAGACACACACCCCCCUCCUCACAGAGCGAAAAUUGCCAGCAACAAACUACAGUUCCCAGGGGGGUUGGCGGGGGGAGGGUUUUUUGCCAUGAUUGCUGUCAGAGUGCUUUCAAUGUAUGGUGCGAACGUGAUCGCAACAUACAAUAAAAACCAGUUGAAGUGAAACAGGCAUACGAAGAGGCCCUAAAUUGUGUCUGGAUUCUCAUCCCUUGCAGCUCCAUCUCCACCACCACCCCUCCCACCCACGCCUGAUGGCUCAGGGUGGCUGACAAAUACUUUAAACAACAAACAUCAGUUCAGAUGCCAGCUCCUCUCCCGCCAGACUGGCAUGACUGGCUGCUAUCAGCUUCCCUGCCGCAACUGUGUCUCGCUCCCAUUCUUAAGUUAACAGCUUGGUGUAAUUGCUUUGCGAGCGACAGCUUGAAUCACAGCAGGCCCUGUGAAUGCGGGUGAUUCAGACUCCCUCCUAUCUCCUCGCUGCCACCACCGCCAGGGAGCUAUUUUAAGCAAUGUCGAACAAAAGAUGCUGCUGAAGCCAUUCUGGAGAGCAGGGAGGUAGCCGGGCAAGUCGGGAAGCUGGGCCUGAAUGCUGCCUCUGUGCGCUCUUGGGAAGACUUUCGCCCUUCAGGGCCUCAUCAAAGAUGCAUCCCUUUUUCAGAUUGGAAUGGCUCCCAGGCCAGCUCAGGGCCCUUCCAGGCUGCUGCUAUUUUCAGGUGGAAUUCAGUCACACGCUGGCAAAUCCAAGUCAUGCAGUUAUAGGCAGGGCCGGAUUUACGUAUAAGCUAAACAAGCUAUAGCUUAGGGCCCCACUCUCUUGGGGGCCCUCAAAAAAAUUAAAGGAAAAAAGUCUGAAAAUACAUUUCCAAAAUAUAAGAUAAACAAAUAAAAUAAAACCUACACACAGCAACAGUGUUUUGUGUUGCGUAGGCUCCUAUGAUGUAAGUAAUGGGCCCCGCCUGCUAGCCUGCUCCCUAAAAUAUCACUGGUUCUUAAUUGUAUUUCAGUUCAACAAUUACUUUGAUAAAAUACAUACUUUGUUAUGUGCAAAUGGCUUUAAAUAUCUAUUAGGUCCGUAAAUUACCAUAUAUUCAACACAAAAAACAGCAACAAUUUGUUGUUGACAAAGGACAGCUGGACAUAUAAAGGGCCCCAUUACCUUCAGUAGCUUAGGGCCUCAUCAAACCCAAAUCUGGCCCUGGUUAUAGGUGAUGGGCAGGUUUGGUGAAAAAACAAAAACCCUGCUUCCCCUGAAAAUCAGACUUUCUGUGAUGAGGAAAGCCACAGGAACAUGCCCUCCCCGAAAACACAUCAGAAUGACAGGCUCUUCCAAGUGUCCCUAUUUUCCAGGGACAGUCUCGGACUUACAGCUGCCCCGGCUUCUGAUUUGAUCCUAAAAUGUCCCACUUUUCCUUAGGGCAUCCCUAUUUUCAUCAGAGAAAUGCUGAAGGAUAAGGAAUAGGACGUCCCCAGGGCUUUUCACAGCCGGAACUCGCUGGAACUCAGUUCCAGCACCUCUCAGACAAGCGCUAUUACCAUAAUAAGAGAACAAAGGUAUGCUGGUCCCGUGGGUUACCCGAGAGGCGAGGUCCAAGUCCGGUCCGUGGUCAAGGUGCAACGUGGAGGCAGUCCAUAGUAGCUGAAACUGGGUGCAGGGCAGGGAGUCGGGUGAAGUCAGGAACAGGCAAGCAAGCAAGCAGAGAGCCAGGGCUUGGCAGGGCAGGGCAGGGCAGGGCAGGUGCUCUGACAGACAAACAGGACAGGGUUCAGGCAAGAACUAGCAACCAACAAUGUUGCUCCCACAACUUGGGACUGGGGCUGGCCAGCUUUUAUGUGCCCCGAGGCAUAGGGCGGCCCCAAUCCUCUGGUGACUUGCCUCUCCUGGCCUGGAGGUGAACACUCCUCCUGCGGGAACCUAGUUCCCUCCGCCUCUCUGCCCUGAGCCUCUGCAGCUCAGGAGAGGCUGGAGGGUUACCGGACCCAGAGGCAACCUCAGCUUCCUCUGACGGGGCUGAGAGUGGAGCACCUGCAGGCAAUGGGUCCUCCAUCACCUCGGGAGCAGGCUCAGCUGAUGCCUGCAGCUGAGGAUCUAGCACAGGUGAGGACCCUUCGGCCUUCCCAUCUCUAGGUAGGACAAAGCCAAGCAGCUAUCAUGCAACACCUGUGACUCCCCCUUUCUUGAAAACGCAGCCAGUUUGAGACAUCCUGAUCACUACGACUGCCCCCGCCAAAACGAAAUGCCGAGCUUCUAGCAAUAACAAGGAUUCCUGAAGUGAGAUGGGGAGAGAUCAAUGGCUGCCUUUAUAGCUGACAAGAUCUCUGGGGUCACUCGGUGACAAGCACUUCAAAUUCUCCAGAGUUUGCAAAUUUCAUGCCGCAACUUUCCCCCCUCUGGGGUAGACUUUGGACACCAUUGUCUUUGGGCUGGCGGGCUGGAGAGGGAUGAGGAAGAAGGGUCUCUCUUGUUCCCCCGGCCCGCCUGCUCCCUUCCAAGCAUGGAGUUGGUGCUGGCCUGGACUCCCAGCGGAGAAGUACAAUGGAGCGCUUCUUGGCUCGGAGGCCGUGGCUUCUCCCGGUGGAGGCUCUGCCCCCAAUCUCGGAAUGGAUCUUCUCAAAUACACCCAAUUCCCACACAGAGCCCCGAUUCAGACUCCCGUCUUUGUUUCUGGAAGUCGUCAUCGAUCGGAAAUCCCAUUGUUAGCCGUCAGGGAAGGACCAAGAGAUGCCCCUCUGGAUUCCUGAAAAGCCCGACACCCUGGCCUUAUGAGCUGCGGUGCUAGAAGUUUAAGAGGGGGCAAGAGGAGGACAAUGGCACCAGCCCACGAGAAACGGCGCCGAUGCUGGCAAGGCAAGCAGGCGUGGGAUGUUGUGCAGACACAACAUCUGCCCUAGGCAAGAACAAGCGGGCAAUGAUAACAAGAGAAGUGGCAUCUUGCAGCAGGAUUGCAUUAAUUUUUUUCUUUACUGGCUCUGUUCUACUCAGCUUAGCAGUCGCAUGAUAAAGGUAAAGGGACCCCUGACGAUUAGGUCCAGUCAUGACCAACUCUGGGGUUGCGGCACUCAUCUCGCUUUAUUGGCUGAGGGAGCCGGCGUACAGCUUCCGGGUCAUGUGGCCAGCAUGACUAAGCCGCUUCUGGCGAACCAGAGCAGCGCACGGAAACACCAUUUACCUUCCCGCCAGAGUGGUACCUAUUUAUCUACUUGCACUUAACGUGCUUUCAAGCUGCUAGGUUGGCAGGAGCAGGGACCGAGCAACGGGAGCUCACCCCGUCACGGGGAUUCGAACUGCCAACCUUCUGAUCAGCAAGUCCUAGGCUCUGUGGUUUAACCCACAGCGCCACCCGCGUCCCAUGAUACACAAGCAUUAAACCAACUGCACUCCUGUGCCCACAGGAAGAAGUCCCCUUCUAAGCGUACAUGCAGGAGUUUGUGUUGGAACCUGCUUUUCCUACCUCUGAUUGCCUCACCAUAAAAAAUUUCACAUACAAUUUUUGCAUGGUGUGGACCAGGAGGAAAAAUGGCAACUCCUUGGGCUAGCAUCCAAUAUAGUGGUACCCUGGUUCUCAGACGCCUUGGUACUCAAACAACUUGGAACCCAAACACUACAAACCCAGAAGUAAGGGUUCCGGUUUGAGAACUUUUUUCAGAAGCCGAAUGUGCUCCGUUUUGAGUGCCACACUUCCAUUUUGAGUGUAACGCUUCUGAUUUGAGUACCACACCUCCUCUUUGAGUGUUACACUGAGAUCUGUCUGUUUUUGCUAUUGAUUUUGAUUUGCUAUUGAUUUUGCAUUUUUGUUUUUGCGACUCUUUUUGUUUUGUUUUUGUGACUGUGUGGAACCCAGUCAGCUACGGAUUGAUAGAUUGUGUGACUGCAGUACAUUGUUUAUUGCUUUCAUUUUAUGGAUCAAUGGUCUCGUUAGAUAGUAAAAUUCAUGUUAAAUUGCUGUUUUAGGGGUUGUUUUUAAAAGUCUGGAAUGGAUUAAUCCAUUUUGCAUGACUUUCUAUGGGAAAGGGUGCCUUGGUUUUGAAACGCUUUGGUUUUGGAACGGAGCCCUGAUAUACUGCAGGGGUCAGCAAACUUUUUCAGCAGGGGGCCAGUCCACUGUCCCUCAGACCAUGUGGUGGGCCGGACUAUAUUUUGAAAAAAAUAUAUGAAUGAAUUCCUAUGCUGCACGAAUAACCCAGAGAUGCAUUUUAAAUAAAAUCACACAUUCUACUCAUGUAAAAACACGCUGAUUCCCAGACCGUCCAUGGGUCAGAUUUAGAAGGCGAUUGGGCUGGAUCCGGCCCCCGGGCCGUAUCUUGCCUACCCAUGAUAUACUGCUAUGAAACUGUAGGUUACAAAACUUCAACGAAUAAGCAGAUAAACAAACUAUAUUAGACAAAGGUCCCUGCCAAAAUGUGUCUCUUUGAAGAAUUCACAGUAAAAUGGUUACAAAUAUUCAUGACGGCUUUUUUUAUAUAUAGAAAAGAAAGAAAAAGAAAAAUGCAAACUCGCCUGCAUUUUGUUUCUUUAAACAUAAGAUUUAAAGAAAAUGAGAAAACUGAAACGAACAGGUUCACCCAUCCCUAGUCCCAAUAAGUAUAGCCAGUUCCUUCAUAAACUCCCUUGUGCAGGCAGCUAGAAUGGAUAAACCUCCAGCGUCCCAUUUCAACUCAAAAAUUCUAGGUUUAUUAUUCACACACUCACACACACACACACACACACACCCGCAAUACACGUUUGAGAUCAUCUACAAUUUACCAGAGUUUCACAGAAGACCAAUAAAUGUCAAAAGGGCCCUCUGCAUAAUCACUGAUCCAGAGGAACCCUUUUCCUUUGAAAGUCUGCAGUUUUUGUACUGUGUGGCUUCCCUCUCUCCCUCUCUCUGUCUCACACACACGCAAAUCCUCCCUGUCUUCUUAAUGUGCUCCCUCAAGAAACAAACUUCUCAUUUUGCAUCCAUUUAUAGCCAGUUUAGGUAAGUGGAUAUGUUGUGUGGGAACUGAUGAUCUUUUACAAAGGAAAGCAGUUAAAUAUAUAAAUAACCCAAGAGGGGGGUGGGACUUGUCGGUUUGAUGGUUUGCUAAAUAAUUGUGACUCUGAAACAAAAACCCUGCCCUAACACUACACAACAGAAUAAAAGAACACCCCCAUCUGGAAACACACACACACACACACACACACACACACCGUCUUUCUCCCUCCCUCCCUCCCUCUCUCUCCCUUUCCCCCAAUCGCAAUAUGUCUAUGUCAAAAGUGUCUCUCGCGACAUGUAAACGAGCCGUGAAAAAGAAUCUAUGAAUUGAAAGUGGAGUCAAAAGAUGCACUUUUCCCUAUUCGUUUGUUUUGAAGCGCAAGAAUAUCUUUAAGAGAAACUAAUUAUUUUUUUAAAAAGUGGAAAUGGUUGUUUGUUUGUUUGGUGUGCGUGCGUGCGUGCGUGCGUGUUAUGCGUCUGGUUUUGCUAACGAAGCCAAAGGUCCAGCCACUUGAUUUGUAAAUGAAAUCCAACUGACGUGUUUCUUUCCUCAGCAAUCCUUCAGCCUCAUUAAACAGAAUCAAAACUCCCCGUGACAAAUCUGGAUGGAGGAGGCAGAGGCCAAUCUGACCUACGAGGAUGCUUUGGCCAGGCGUGUGUCUGUGGAAGCUGAUAGCGAGUCAAGUUGGCGUCACUGCCGCUCCAAAGUCCUAAUUCAGCAAAAGAUUCAGCACUUUCUUCCCUAGGCAGCCACUGUGCCGUCUACUGAACAGCUCGGUGCAACGGAAAGCAUUUCCAGAAGGAGUCCUGGACCUGCGGCCACGCAGCUUUGGGUUCAAACCUUGGCCAGCCCCACAGACUUUCCCUUGCCCAGCCGCUUCUCUUCAGCUCCCUCCCUCUGUAAAACUAGCAUCCUUACACUUUGCCACGCAGAGUUUUGUCUUGCGGACAGAUGCGUCAAAGGCUGCGAAGUGUUUCAAACAACACAGCUGCAAUGGAACUGACAAGCAGGCAAAAUUCAGGGGAGGAACUACCGAGGGCAAAAUGAGAAUUUGCAAAGCACAGAGUAGCUACGCUUGUUGAGACUCGCCUCUACGUGCCCAUCCUCGUUUCUUGAACCUUGGCUUGCAUGCCUGUGAAACAUGGCAGCUUGCCUCCCUUCGCCCCUUAGUUUGACAUGUGUUGGUUGCUUGGCAUGCAAAUAGGUGGGAGGUGAGAGUGGAGAGAACUGCAGCCGGUCACUUACCUCGCACAUCAAUGUGGUGGUCUCUCAUACUGCGGGAUGUGAAAGCAGGGCUGCAGUGUAUAUUGCUCCAUGUUGUUGGGAUGUGAAUAGAUGCUAGGGGACGCGGGUGGCGCUGGGGUCUAAACCACUGAGCCUCUUGGGCUUGUCGAUUGGAAGGUUGGCGGUUCGAAUCCCCAUGACGGAGUGAGCUCCCGUUGCUCUGUCCCAGCUCCUGCCAAUUUAGCAGUUCGAAAGCACGCCAGCGCAAGUAGAUAAAUAGGUACCACUCCGGCGGAAAGGUAAACAGCGUUUCCGUGCGCUCUGGUUUCCAUCACGGUGCUCCGUUGUGCCAGAAGCGGUUUAGUCAUGCUGGCCACAUGACCCUGAAAGCUGUCUGUGGACAAACACCGGCUCCCUCAGCCUGAAAGCGAGAUGAGUGCUGCAACCCCAUAGUCGCCUUUGACUGGACGUAACCACCCAGGGGUCCUUUACCUUUUAGAUGCUAGGAGAGGAUACGUUUGUUAGAUAUUAUCCUUCCUUAUGUUUGUGAGUUUAACAGAGUGCCAUGCCUUUGCAGUUUAAAAGGGAAGCUUAGAUAGCGAGUUUAGCAUUUUAAUUUAAGGAAUCCAGGAAGCUUUAAGGCAGACGGGAUUUUCCUGGCAUUUCCCCAUUUUCUCCCCCUUAAAGCAACAAACACACAAACAGUCUUGUAAAAGGUAAAAAUAGCAUUUACUCACACAGAAUACUUGUUGGAAAAGUAACAGAUACAGCAGCUUUGUCCAGGCAGGCUUCAGGUGGUAAUUCAGUCACAAAGACAUAAUGUAUUUUUCGCUCUAUAGGACGCACCCAACCAUAGGACGCACCUUGUUUCAGAGGGGGAGAACAAGGGAAAAAAUUCUCCCCCUCUCUGCUCAGCGCCCCUUCAGCGAAGCGGCAGGAGAAACGGAGCCCCUUCCAUUUCUCUUCCCACUUGGCUGAAGGGGCACUGUGCAGCUCUCCCUCUCUGCUGAAGCCAGGAGAGUCAGCAAAAGGAACCCGAAGCCUCUGGAGCGCAGCGGGACCUCCUGCUGCACUCCGGAGGCUUCAGGCGGCUAUCCCUGAAGCCUUUGGAGUGCAGCGCAAGUUCCUGCAGCGCUCUGGAGGCUUCAGGUUCCUUUCGCUUCAGCAAGGUUCUCCCAGCUUCAGCAAAAGGAACCUGAAGCUUCUGGAGUGCAGAGGGAACUUGCACUGCGCUUCAAAGGCUUCAGGGACCUCCCGCUGCACUCCGGAGGCUUCAGGAGACUAUCCCUGAAGCCUUCGGAGCGCAGCGCGAGUUCCCGCUGCGCUCCGGAGGCUUCGGUUCAGCGAAAGCAAUGUGAAGCCUCCGGAGCGCGGAGGGAGCGCUCCCUCUGCACUUUGGAGGCUUUGUGUUGCUAUCGCUGAAGCCAAGGAGCCUGCAUUCUCUCCAUAGGACGCACACACAUUUCCCCUUAAUUUUUGGAGGGGAAAAAGUGCGUCCUAUAGAGCAAAAAAUACGGUACUUAAGUCUAGCUUGAAAUGGUGUCUGAGCAUGGAGCUCAGCCAUGCAGAUGUUCUCACAUUGCUUGCAGAGUGGAGGGAGGUGGACAUAGAUGGAAAGGGAAUAAAAGAGUGUGCCCAGGCAGGUAGGUGAAUAUCUAGCUAUGCCCUCCUUCCCUGUCAGGGCACCAUGGGAGUAUCUAUCACAGAGUUCUCUCUAGCAGACUAAUCAGGAAAACUCUGUGAGCUUCAGCUCCUAUCAUGUGCCUAUCUAGCAAUGCAUGAAUUGUUGGUUUGACUGCCUUUUGAAUAUCCCACUUCAUGGCAGCUUGCAAGGGGAAAGAACUGCCUACCUGGCCUCAGCUCAAGGGCAGUACCACCACUGCCAGAUGUGUAUUUGAAACCUUGCAGAAGGUGGAAGGGGUGGAAGGAAGAAGAAGCCCCGACAACAGCGGACUGGCAUAAUAAACUACAAGAAUUUGCUGAAAUGGCGCAGUUGACAAAUAGCCUGAGAGGCAAUUCAAAACAAAAAUUUAUGGGAAAAUGGGAUAGCUAUAAGAUAUAUGUUCAAAAAUAUAGUAAAGGUUCGCUAUCUAUGCGAGCAUUCAAUUGAUGUUGGAGAGAAAUUGAGUUGAGAAACAAGAUUAAAGGUACAUAUUGAUAUAGGAAUGUAUUAGAUAAAACGUAAAGAAAUAUACAAUAAUAAGUGUACAUUCAUUUGUAAAAAAAAUAUAUACAACAAGAUUGACAGGAAGUCUGUAGUCUUGAUAAAUAUUAUUUUGAAAUGGCUUUAUAUUUUUGUUUUUUGUUUUUUCUUUCUGUAGGUACAUAAAUUUGGUAUAUAAACUUUGUAUACAUGUUGGGAAUUAUAUUAUAAUAUGCCCUGUAAUGUAAUAUGAUAAUGUAUACACAUGUGACAUAAGAACGUUAAAAACGAAAGAAAGAAAGAAAGAAAGAAAGAAAGAAAGAAAGAAAGAAAGAAAGAAACCCUGCAGAAAAGGGAGUUGAUUGAGACGGUGAUUUGGAAGAGGGCAGCAGUGAGAGUCUUAAGAGACAGUUUGUCACAUAUACAGUGGUACCUCGGGUUACAUACGCUUCAGGUUACAGACUCCGUUAACACAGAAAUAGAACCUUGGGUUAAGAACUUUGCUUCAGGAUGAGAACAGAAAUCGUGCAGCAGCUGCGCAGCAGCAGCGGGAGGCCCCGUUAGCUAAAGUGGUGCUUCAGGUUAAGAACAGUUUCAGGUAAGAACUGAACUCCGGAACGAAUUAAGGACGUAACCAGAGUCCAUAUGGUUGCCCGGCAGCAGCUGUCCGGCCCUGGACCCUCCUGUCUUGAUGGAUGCCCUGUCCACUCCAUGCCAGAUGGCGGGGUCUGGGAGGUUUCCAUUGAACAUUUUCCAUAGUGCUCUGGAGCAACUGUCCACUGAGCACACAGGGGCAUUGUGGGAAAAUCUAAUUGGCAGCUUCCCAACCAUCUGCUCCCAGCAGCAAGCAAAGCCGUGAUUGUCCUACGUUGGGGGCCCACCAGAUAGCACUUUGCUGAGGGUACCCUCCUCCCUGGACCCUGGUUACGGCGAAAGAGGGUGCCAUGUUGUUUAUAGCUGACAUGAUGAUUCCAAUAGUUAUUCAUCAGGCAAUGGUAUUUAUUUUGGUUUAAUGCAAAAGAUAGGGACGUGGGUGGCGCUGUGGGUUAAACCACAGAGCUUAGGACUUGCUGAUGAGAAGGUCGACGGUUCAAAUCCCCGCGACAGGGUGAGCUCCCAUUGCUCGGUCCCAGCUCCUGCCAACCUAGCAGUUCAAAAGCACGUCAAAGUGCAUGUAGAUAGAUAGGUACCGCUCCGGUGGGAAGGUAAACGGCGUUUCCGUGCGCUGCUCUGGUUCGCCAGAAGCGGCAUAGUCAUCCUGGCCACAUGACCAGCUCCCUUGGCCAGUAAAGCGAGAUGAGCGCCGCAACCCCAGAGUCGGCCACGACUGGACCUAAUGGUCAGGGGUACCUUUACCUAAUGCAAAAGAUGGAGUUGGAUUUUAACUGGCAUGGUUUGGAACAAGAGUGUCUUUUGGGAUAAAGGAUGGCUUUCCGAAUGAUGUUAACGUUUCACCCUUCCUUCCUUCCUUCCUUCCUUCCUUCCUUCCUUGAUUUCUAUUGUAUCAUAUGUUUAAGAUAUCAUAUGUUUAAGAUUUCUAUUGUAUCAUAUGUUUAAGAUUUUAAGCCUGUGCACAGGGACUUUCUUGUUUUAAUUAAUUGUAUGUAAGCUACUCUGGGAGUCUUUUUGGCUGAAGAACAGGGGAUGCAUGUUCCCAGUCCCUGUUGAACUUCCGGCCCUGGUGAAGGCCUACUAAUUUCUAUGGCAUUUGAAGUUAGUUUUCCAGUUAAUUUUAACUGAUUUGAUCUUUAAUGGAUCUUUUGCAACCUUCCUGUGCACCGCUACAUAGAUUAAAUGUAUAUCUAAUGUUUAAAUAAGGUACAGUAGCAGCAAUUUGCAUGGAUAGUAGUUAAUGUCUUAAAGGAAACGUAUCCCAUAGACUCUACGUAGAGGUUCAAAUCCACCUGGAAGUUGCAUUCUACCCUCCUUUCUGAUUCAGGACACCCUAAGUUCCACCUGGGAAGAGUGGUCUGUGAUGAUGAUGCAACAAUAGGCCACUUUGCAUAAGCUCAGAAGUAGUCUUUUCAACUGCUGAAGGGGCACAGAAAUGUGAUCUUAGCACCAUGCUAUGAUGAGUUCUUGCUUCCUUUAAACUCUGAGAAGAAACCUUCAUAAAGUUGUCCUGUGAGGUUUUUUCUCUCUGAUUGUUUUGGGACGAAAAGAAAGUAUAUUUUUGGACGCAUCAGCCCAAGGGCCAGAUUGAGGUUUGAUGAGGCCCUAAGCUACUGAAGGUAAUGGGGCCCUUUAUAUGUCCAGCUGUCCCUUGUCAACAACAAAUUGUCACAGUUUUUUGUGUUGAAUAUAUGCUAUAUGGUAAUUUAUGGACCCCAUAGUUAUCUAAAGCCGUUUGCGCAUGUUGCCAUGCAACUAGUCCAUGCAGAAUGUAGGCACCCUAUAUAUAGAAAUGAGCAAACCAGUGAUAUUUUAGGGAGCAGGCUAGCAGGCGGGGCUAUUGCUUACAUCAUAGGAGCCUACACAACACAAAACACUGUUGCUGUAUGUAGGCUUUAUUUUAUUUGUUUUUUUAUCUUAUAUUUUGGAAAUGUACAUCCAGGUUUUUAUUCCCUUUAAUUUUUGGGGGGGCCCGCAAGAGAGGGGGGCCCUAAGCUAUAGCUUGUUUAGCUUAUACGUAAAUCCGGCACUGACAGCCCCCACAAUUCUGUUGGAGGCCUUGGGAGUUUUUGCUUUCACUUUGUUUGCAGUGGGUCCUGGGAAACGUGAAAUCUGCAAGCACAGCAAGCAGCAACACUCACCGGGUGGCACGGCGCACUUGCCAGGUCUUUGCAGAAAGCACUGAAAACAAAUCUCCAGGUUUCACCCCAGAUGAGCAGAAAUUAGCAGCUCAUCAAUUCUUCAAGAGCAGCUAAUUAGCAAGUACCCAGGAGAUCUGCGCUCUCUCUCAACAUCAAGCCACUCAGCCAGCCCAGAUUUGAGCAUGCCGGGGGUGCUGCUGUCUGUAAUUGAGACUCUCAGCCAGGAUCCAAGUGGCCUGGGGUCUCCCCUGGAGAAAACGCCAGCCAAGCAGGGAAGUGCCGCAAAUUGCAGUUGUCAUCAGCACAGCUUCUUGUGGAGACGGCCAAAGAUCAUAAAAUGCUUCCAGCCAGAAAAGUGUCCCAACACUCAGUCAAUGGUGUGUCAUCUUUUUUAAAAUCCAAAUAUUUUCUAUUGGUUUUCAUGUAAAUACAAGAACAACAUGCAACUACAGUAACUUGCUUUUUGAAAGGCAUCACCAUCGUUGCGUGGUUGGUACUUAGUCCCAGAAAUGAUGCAGCUUUAAAAUUUGGCUAUCAUUAGCCACAGGUUUCUUUGGUCUCCCAGAUGUGGCUGAACUACAGCUCCCAUCAUCCCCGGCCAUUGGUCAUGCUGGCUGGGAGUUGUGGUUCAACAACAUUUGGAGGGUCAAAGGUUCCAUGCACGUGGUCUGCAUAGAACUGAGAUCUGGAGACAGCUGUGUCAUGGAAUUCUAUUCAGUAUUGAUCCAGAGUAGAUUCCAGUGUAUAGUUAGCGGAGUAAAACCUUAAACACGUUGCAGGAUUCACAAAAAAUAGACCAGAGCCAAUUGUAUUUCAUCCAGCAGAGCUUUACUGCUACUGAUGGCAAAUGAGCAUAAUGGUCACAAGUCCAAUACAUUCAGGCUUGGCAUUGUCCAUAAGAAAUCCAGUUGCGGAAGACUUACCGUAACUUAAACUUACGAUGUUGUUCUUGUUGUUGUUUAGUCGUUUAGUUGUGUCUGACUCUUCGUGACCCCAUGGACCAGAGCACACCAGGCACUUCUGUCUUCCACUGCCUCCCGCAGUUUGGUCAAACUCAUGCUGGUAGCUUCGAGAACACUGUCCAACCAUCUCGUCCUCUGUCGUCCCCUUCUCCUUGUGCCCUCCAUCUUUCCCAUCAUCAGGGUCUUUUCCAGGGAGUCUUCUCUUCUCAUGAGGUGGCCAAAGUAUUGGAGCCUCAGCUUCACGAUAACUUAUAAUAAAUCUAAAAAACUUACAAUAACUUAUAACAAAUCUAAACCUUAACACUGAGCAUACUAUGUACAGAACACCACCCCAGAAAAAAAGAGAUAGAAAGAGAAAAGUGAAAACCAGGCUCCUUCUGGCCUUACUUUUAAAGUCAGCAUGACCUUGACAGAAAAGAUAACAGAACCAGUUUAAGCCUGCUGUGCACAGCUUCUCUGAAGGAAUAACCCAAACAUCAUGAGCCUUCUGCCUGUUUCUUUCACACAGAGAAGCUUCCAGAACACUCUUGAAUUAAUUAGAAUAGGAAAGAUCUCUACACAUCAGAGCAAUACUUUCUGCACUAAGAAAUGCAAACUGACAAGCUGGUCAUUCUAGACAGGAGCCACAGGAUGAUGCAGAAGAGGGUGGUUUAGCAGCACUCAGUCAUUCCUGUUCAGCUUUAAUCUGGUAUAGAAACUCUGCUUCCUGGCUUCUAAUACUCUGUAGCCAGGAUUUAGGGUGGUGCGUCCAGUCCCCUCCCCCCCACAGGGCGCUGAGCUGUUAUUAUUAUUAUUAUUUAUACAGGGAUGUGGGUGGCGCUGUGGGUUAAACCACAGAGCCUAGGACUUGCCGAUCAGAAGGUCGGCGGUUUGAAUCCCCACGACGGUGUGACCUCCCAUUGCUCGGUCCCUGCUCCUGCCAACCUAGCAGUUCGAAAGCACGUCAAAGCGCAAGUAGAUAAACAGGUACCGCUCUGGCGGGAAGGUAAACGGCGUUUCCGUGCGCUGCUCUGGUUCGCCAGAAGCGGCUUAGUCAUGCUGGCCACAUGACCCGGAAGCUGUACGCUGGCUCCCUCGGCCAAUAAAGCGAGAUGAGCGCCGCAACCCCAGAGUCGGCCACGACUGGACCUAAUGGUCAGGGGUCCCUUUACCUUUACUUUAUUAUUUAUACAGGUGCCUUCAGGGAAGAUCAACUUAAAAGACAACUAUACCAAAAGGAAUUAUUGUAAAUAAUAACAAACGCUUAGCAGAGAAGUCUCAAAUGCUCAGGGUGCCCUAUUACCCGCCCUGCCCUCCUCAGCUCCAGGGUCCCCACCAACUCAAAAACGCUUGUUGGACUCUUUGCAGGGCACAGAAGGAGAAAGGCUGACCCAGAAUUCAACCAAAACGUUCCGCCUUCAACAAUGCCCUCAGUGCUACCUAAUUUUGUAGAAAUGCAUGCCUCGUGGGUCUCCCGUCCAACACACACAAACACAGUGUCCCCCAGCCUCACAAUCGUGAAGGAGAAGGAGUCAGGCGUCAGUCUUAGCUGAACUCACUCUUGAGAUAUUCCUCAGACAAUGAGGCCAUUUUUUGAUUUCCCUGGGCCUCCUCCCCAGCCAGCCUAGAAAUCAUAACUCUCUCACUCACUGGAACGUGCCAACAGAUGGUGACCGGGCGGUGACUGGGAGAGCACAUGACGACUCCCGCUGUGGUCAUUGCGCCAAUAUGCGGAGGGAUGUUUCAGCUGAGAGCUGUAGAUGUCAAGAACUUGCUGGGUUCUCAACGAGUUGGCUGCCCCAUUGACAAGUCUUCGGGACGUGCCCAUCGGUGUUCCAUAUUCUAAAUCAGCAGGUUCAUCCUCAUCAAUUGGUGCAGUAGCCUGAUUCAUGGCCACGUGUUUUCUUAUCCUUACUAUAUCCCAGCUUUCCUUCAAGGUUCCCCCUCUCCUCAUUUUAUCCUCAGAACAACCCUGUGAGGUAGCUUCGGCUGAGAGGUCAUGACUGGCCCAAAACCAGACAGUGAGUUUUGUGGCCAAGAGGGGACUAGAACCCCCGUCUCCCAGGUCUUAGUCCAACACUCUAACCACUACACUAUCCUGGUUCUCAAUGGAGAGGUUAACAAAUGGAUAAUAAAUGCACUGAUUAGGUUUGUUUUCCUAUGAAUGAAGCCAAACAGCGAGAGCAAGUGCUGUAGGAGAAAUUCAGGAGCAAGCAGAGAUGGCACCCUUCUGCCCCUUCCUCACCCAAGGGUGCAGCUAGGCAAUUUCAGACCAUGUACUUAAAGGUCUUACAGAGCCAAGGGAGAAGGGCUCUUUAAAUGGCAAUGCGGGUUACUUUACCUACAUAUACUUGAAGACAGGAUGCCCAGAGCCACUUGCAAAAAUCAGUGAAACUGUCCCUGCCCUUAGGCAUAUAAAGCAUUCCUAAUACACAAUCCACGCUACCGAAAGUGGUUUAGGAUAUGGCGGAGAUUUCCUCCCACUCUGCCCACAGGUGGUCUGUUGCAGAGUGUUUGAGGACCGGGACAUUUGCAGGGAAACCAACAUGCUUGUUUACAAAGCUAUUGUACUACCAACCUUACUGUAUGCUUGUGAAACAUGGACCACUUAUAAACGCCAUCUCCAACUCCUCGAAAGAUUCCAUCAAUGGUGUCUCAUCACUUGGUGUUUACGCAUCACUUGGGAAGACAGGUGAACUAAUGCCAGUGUACUGGAAGAAGCAAAGAUCACCAGUGUUGAAGCGAUGAUUCUUAAACAUCAACUUUGUUGGACUGGUCAUGUUGUGUGGGUACCUGAUUACCGUCUUCCAAGGCAACUACUCUAUUCCGAACUUAAAAAUGGAAAGCGUAAUGCUGGUGGUCAACAAAAGAGGUUUAAAGACUCUCUCAAGGCAAAUCUAAAAAAUGUAGUAUAAUCACCGACAACUGGGAAACACUGGCCUGCAAACGCUCCAGUUGGAGAACAGACUUUACCAAAGGUGUCGUGCGUUUUGAAGACACUCAAACUCCGGACGAAAGGGAGAAACGUGCUAAGAGGAAGGCACGCUUGGCAAACCCUCACAAUGAUCAACUCCCGCCUGGAAACCUAUGUCCCCACUGUGGAAGGACGUAUGAAUCCAGAAUCGGCCUCCACAGCCACUUACGCACCCCCGUUAAAAGUGUGUUUAUGGAAGACAAUCUUACUCGGCUACGAAUGAUCGCCAAAGAAGAAGAAGCAUAGCCUCCAAGUGUCCCGAUUUUGCUGGAGAACGGGCAAAGACAAGGAGAGGCUGAAGCUGCUGAGGCCCAGCCCUGAUUAUUCCUGUCCUCCUCUGACUAUGUGUGCGCGUGUGAAUUUAUUUAUUAAGCUCUACUUACAGAUCAUUUUCCUUAAAAGAUCUCAAAGUGAUUUACCAGCAAAAUAAACAUCAGCAAUAAAAAGAAUCACACCAUUUCAUAUGUGAAAAUACAAUUAAAGCAAUUUUGAAAACAAACUUUUUUUUCAUAUUUAAAAAAUCAAGUCCAUAUCGAAGAAGAACAGAGACUGGGAUAAAGGUCUCCUCUUAAAAGGCUUGCUGGAAAAAAGAAGGUUUUCGAUAGUUGUUUUGAUAGUUGCCAAAAAUACAACGGAGACGUAGCCUGGUUAAUAUUCAAAGGGAGGCGGCGGUCCAAAGUAUAGAUGCCACACACGAAAGGUCCCAUUCUUACAUCAUAUGGAACAGAUUCCCUGCUGAGAUGUUGGAGCACAGUGAUCAGUCGGGUACAUAAGGGGUUAUGGUACGAUCUUUUACGGGACGCAGGUGGUGCUGUGGGUUAAACCACAGAGCCUAGGACUUGCCGAUCAGAAGGUCAGCAGUUCGAAUCCACACAACGGGGUGAGCUCCCGUUGCUCAGUCCCUGCUCCUGCCAACCUAGCAGUUAAGAAGCACGUCAAAGUACAAGUAGAUAAAUAGGUACCGCUCCGGUGGGAAGGUAAACGGCGUUUCCGUGCGCUGCUCUGGUUCGCCAGAAGCAGCUUAGUCAUGCUGGCCACAUGACCCGGAAGCUGUACGCCGGCUCCCUAGGCCAAUAAAGCGAGAUGAGCGCCGCAACCCCAGAGUCCGCCACGACUGGACCUAAUGGUCAGGGGUCCCUUUACCUUUAUCCUUAUGAGUUGGUGUUUGGCCCCUUUGUGCUCAAAUCUCUCGUGAUGCUCUGUUACCAUCACCCACCCCAUUUCCAUCCUGCAGGCUUCUCUUCCGCCGUCCUCCCCCUCCAAGUGUCCUUUAUAUGGAUGAGCUCAGCUCCACAUGGCUUUAGCCGGUCCCAAGGGCCGGUCCGUUCCAACCUUCAACCUCCAAAAGAAGCCAAUCUGGAGUCCCCCGCGAAUCGUAGCUUCUCUUUUAUGAGAAUGAGCUCUGGCACAUACACACACCUCUCACCUUCCUUUCCUUUUCUUCCAUCCAGGUUUGAGCCCCCAGAGGAUCCUCGAUCCCCUCACUGCUUCCCUCCCCCCCCUUCUUCCGGCGAAUGGCUUAUUAGAAACUUUCGUGGAACCUCCGUCUGUGACGUCAGGGUCUCCUUCCCUUCCUCUGUCCCGGGGGAUGAGACACUAGAACAAUACCGCACACCUGUAAACACCUUCCCCCUCUCUUCCUUUCUCCUCUAAAGUUUCUGCUUCCCAGAGCUGUCAAGACAUAAAAGAUCUUUUGUGAAUGCGGGGAAAGGAUUUGCCAGAAAUGCAAAACUCAAUUCCAACCACGCUGCCGUACAUCUGUUCCGUACAGCUGGUCUCCAGUGCAGUGAGGGACUUGGGUGUGCAGGCUGUUUCCCCCACUCCCCUUUUCAUUUAAUCCCCCCCCCCCCUUUAACAAAACAGGAACAUGCUUGGUGCCAGAAGUGAAGAUCAGCUGUGAACUUGUCCUUGGUGCACAGGGAGUUUCACACCGAGUGGAACCAGGAGGUCAAUUCUUGAUUUUUCAGUUCAGCAGUUGGAGAUCCUCUACAUCUGAGCAGCUUUGUCUAGAUACGGUACACACACACAUUUGUUCCAGCUGCUUUCCAGGCCACCCACCGCCUCUCUCGCUGUUUGUAAAUAAGAGGCUGCUAUUUAUGCCUCCCCCCACCGAAAACACUUCCCUGCAAUGUCAAAAAACAACAACAGGUCAUACAUCUCAUCGGUCAUAUUGCUGGUCAGGGAGGUGCUUAUCAGAACCAGAUUCAAGCAAGGGGUCUUGGGACACUGAUAACUUUGGCACAUCUCUGAAGCCCCUGCAGAUUUUCACACGGUGUGUUCUGCAACAGGUCAUUGAUGCAUUAGUGGUGGGUUAAUAGUGGGCUGUCCACUCCUCGUUCUGCCUUAUUAGUCCCCACCCCCAUGUUACUCUUCCACUCUAGCACAGCAAAAGUAGGACCAAACAAGCAAAUCCUGGAACAUUAGUGGUGUAAACAGUUCCAGGAUUAAAAACGAAGCAUAUUGUUGCCACAAUCAUGCGCCAUCCGCCACUGUCCGCAAGAUCCCAGAGAAUUCCAGGCACUCACCCAGGGUCUGUGCUCCUUUGGAAAAUUGAGACACAGCAGAGACUGCCGUAGCUUUAAGAAAUAUGGUUCAUCCACCUAUUUACACCUUCAGUCUGAGUUGAGGGAGUCCAGAUCUUACAGCAUGGUUAUUUCAAGAGUGACUUGCCUCCCACAGCAGUGCAGCCAGCCUUCAGCCAGCCUGCCCAAGAUGGAUCCCGUUCUCUCUUCUUUCUUCUUCUUCUUCUUCUUCUUCUUCUUCUUCUUCUUCUUCCCAGAACACCUUGCUAAAAAAAAAUAACCUCUCUUUUCUUGUCACCUCACACCCAGUUGCCCUGGCCACCUUCCAAACCCCCCAUCUCUGUUCACACUUCAGGGCAAGGAGGGAUGACAGUUCUCUUCCAUUGCCAAUGGCUAAUAAUAAUAAUAAUAAUAAUUUUAUUAUUUAUACUCCACCCAUCUAGCUUGGCUAGGUCGUUUUGCAUUUCCUACUUUUGGAAUGGGGAAAAUGGUAGGCAUUGCAUGGGUUUCCUAUAUAUAUAAUUGACUGAAUUAUAUAUACAAUUGAAUUCCAAAACAUUUGGGGUUAGGUUUGUAGAACUCAGUAAGGUAUCAUGCAGGAAACUAAUAUAAACAGCCCAGUCUAAUGUUUACUUGGAAUUAAGUCCCAUUUGUGUUCAGGAGAUCUUACUCUCAAGUAAGUUUGCAAAGAGUUGCAGCUGUGCAGCUGUGGGUGUGGGUGUUAAGAAGAAUUUAUUCUCAGAAGAUGGGCUAGCACUGAUAAAAUCUAACAUUCAUGCCAAACUUUGCAGCAAAAUUAACAUUUUAAGGACCUUGGCAACCACUUGUUCCCUUUGUGCCAUCAGUCAGUCAAUCUACUGAUCCUGUCAGGAGACCUCACAAUAAAACUUACAGCUCAAGUUAACAUGCAAAACUAGGGUGCAGAAUGAUCAAUGAUCUCUAUUAACAGAUAAGAUCACUUAAUUGCAUUUGUUUGGGUGCCGUUUUUACUUGUAUCUUAAUUGCUCGAAACAGGAGUUUAGCUAUGGUUUCUGUGACUCUGCUCUUAUCUGUAUCAGAGAAGCAGAGACAUAAUAUUCAGGUGAUCUUCCAGGAUACAAAGUGAUUGAUGGAUUAGUUAAUUCUUUCCGGAGAUCUUGAUGGAAGUUACAAAACGGUAAGGCGUGGCUUAUUCACGGCAACAUUCACCUCAUUAUUAUUGCUGUUGAUAUUUCACUUUCCUCUGAACCAAACAGCAGUAAUAGUUAUCUUUACAUUCUCAUAUUUACAAGAAGAAUGGCAGAUGAAAGUGAUGGACCAUAUGGAACUGGCUGAGAUGACCGGCAGAAUCCAAGAUCAGGAAGAAGGGUUGAUGGAAGAAGACUGGAGAAAAUUUAAAAUAUAUCUUCAGAAACACUGUAAUAUAAAAGAAUGCUAGAAAAAGGUUGGAAAAGAAUAUUAGGCCGUAUUGGCAGACAGGGUAUAAUGGAAUAAGUAAAAAUGAAGUGUAAAAUGAGGAUAGAGGAGAAUUAAAUACUUUCGAAUGUUAAAAUAAGUAAAAGAAAAGAAGGUUAGAAGGAUUUGCUGGAGAUACGAUUUAAACUAGAAUACAAAGCAGGGAGGUGAGAGGAAGUCAUGGAAAUAAGUAAAAGGGAAAAAGGUUGUAAAAGGUCUAAUUUGAUUUUUGUUAUUUUUUACUGUGAUUUUUUGUUUUUUCUUAUUUCUUUUUUAUUGUCUGUUCUUUGUAACAUCUGUAUGGUUUGUUUUUUCUUUAAUUUUUUUGUAACUUUAAAAUUGGAAUAAAUAUUCUUAAAAAAAAAAAAAAUACAUUCUCAUAUUUACAUGUAUAUUUCAGCUUUCCUCCAAGGAGCGCCAAGUGCCGUGUGUGAUUCUCUCUCACAAACCCCAUUUUAUCCUCACAACAUGGGUCAGCUUCAGAGAAAGUGAUUGGCCCAAGGCUUUAUGACCAAGUGGGGAUUUGAACACAUGUCUUCUUCCCAGUCCAUCACUCUAACCCAGGGAUUGCCAACCGGGCCCCUACCACCCACUAGUAGGUGCUUCAGGAUUCUAGGUGGGCAGUAGGGGGUUCUUCGGCAAAAGCUGAAUCCUCCUUCCGUCGAGCACUGGUGGCCGGUAAGGAAAUUUUACCAUCAAGAAGUUUGCACGAGUGGGCGGUAGGUAUGCUUUUGAAUUAUGGUGCUGCAGGAGACUCGUGUGGGACGCGGGUGGCGCUGUGGGUAAAACCUCAGUGCCUAGGACUUGCCGAUCGCAUGGUCGGCGGUUCGAAUCCCCGCGGUGGGGUGAGCUCCCGUCGUUCAGUCCCAGCUCCUGCCCACCUAGCAGUUCGAAAGCACCCCCAAGUGCAAGUAGAUAAAUAGGUACCGCUUUAUAGCGGGAAGGUAAGCGGCGUUUCCGUGUGCUGCGCUGGUGCUGGCUCGCCAGAGCAGCUUCGUCACACUGGCCACAUGACCCGGAAGUGUCUCCGGACAGCGCUGGCCCCCGG